GUGGGGAAUAUUGGACAAUGGGCGAAAGCCUGAUCCAGCCAUGCCGCGUGUGUGAAGAAGGUCUUCGGAUUGUAAAGCACUUUAAGUUGGGAGGAAGGGCAGUAAGUUAAUACCUUGCUGUUUUGACGUUACCAACAGAAUAAGCACCGGCUAACUUCGUGCCAGCAGCCGCGGUAAUACGAAGGGUGCAAGCGUUAAUCGGAAUUACUGGGCGUAAAGCGCGAGUAGGUGGUUCAGCAAGUUGAAGGUGAAAUCCCCGGGCUCAACCUGGGAACGGCCUCCAAAACUACUUAGCUAGAGUACGGUAGAGGGUAGUGGAAUUUCCUGUGUAGCGGUGAAAUGCGUAGAUAUAAGAAGGAACACCAGUGGCGAAGGCGACUACCUGGACUGAUACUGACACUGAGGUGCGAAAGCGUGGGGAGCAAACAGGAUUAGAUACCCUAGUAGUCC
rnacentral:rRNA from 1 species